GACGAACGCUGGCGGCGUGCUUAACACAUGCAAGUCGAACGGAAAGGCCCUGCUUUUGUGGGGUGCUCGAGUGGCGAACGGGUGAGUAACACGUGAGUAACCUGCCCUUGACUUUGGGAUAACUUCAGGAAACUGGGGCUAAUACCGGAUAGGAGCUCCUGCUGCAUGGUGGGGGUUGGAAAGUUUCGGCGGUUGGGGAUGGACUCGCGGCUUAUCAGCUUGUUGGUGGGGUAGUGGCUUACCAAGUCUUUGACGGGUAGCCGGCCUGAGAGGGUGACCGGCGACAUUGGGACUGAGAUACGGCCCAGACUCCUACGGGAGGAAGCAGUGGGGAAUAUUGCACAAUGGGAGGGAGCCUGAUGCAGCAACGCCGAGUGCGGGAUAACGGCCUUCGGGUUGUAAACCGCUUUCGCCUGUGACGAAGAGUGAGUGACGGUAAUGGGUAAAGAAGCACCGGCUAACUACGUG
rnacentral:rRNA from 1 species